rnacentral:lncRNA from 1 species
UGUUGUUGUUUUUUAGGUGAAUCAAUUGCAAUUGAUGGAAUAUCUUUAAAAUGCUGAGAAUAUUUUCCAACAAUUUUGUGAUCUCCAUAAAUAUGAAGGGAAAAGGUGGAAAUAUGCUUUAAGAGCACUAAAUUAUAUGGUGUAGUGAAAGUUCAUGUAAUUUUUUCAAAAUCGAAUAUGCGGAAAGGAGCUGUUUGGAAUGAAGAUU